AGAUAUACCCUGGACUACCCUCACAGUGAACCUGCCCAUCACAAACAAGGGCUGCAGCAUGAAGAGGGCCAACCUCUACCUUCCAGGUACCUGCACUACCUAUCAGAUGACAGCCUGGCUGCCAGUUAGCAUCCCUGCUGACUCCUGUGGCCUGCCCUUUCCAGAGACUAUGCUCCAGAAAAGGAGGCACAGGAGGUGAGCAUUCGGCCAGUACCCUAGCUUGACCUACGGUACUUAUCCCCUCCUCCAGCAGCCUUUCGAAGAUGCCACCUUGGAGGACAACAUCUUCUUCCCAGGAGGACUUGAGCAGCCCAGUGGCGUCCCCCAGGUGAAAGGGAAAUGAUGAAGAUGAGUUAUCCUGGAGGCCCAAACCUUCAAUGUGGUAGCUGGGCAUAAUCUGGGAAGGCUUCCUGCAAGUGUCCCUGGCAACUACCAUUCUACUUUCUGUUCUGUGAAUUUGACUGCUUUAGAUACCUCAGGACAGUUGAUCAACAGCAUCUUUCACACCAUUUCCAGCCAGUGCCAGCCCUAAAAAGCGAUCCCUCAAUACCACACAAUUUGGGAGCAAGCUACAAGCCACUUCUCUACUCUCUAGGACAGUCAUCUGAGGUUCUCACCACACCCCAUGCUGCCCCUGAGCUUUGGCCCUUCUGCCUAGAAUUCUCCUUUCCUGAGCCUUUAUAUGCUUCUCUGUAGCAUUCUUGGCGUGCUUACCUCAUCAGGGUCUUA